UGAAGAUUUGGGAGGCAGUAGGAGGAAGGAUCCUAUCAAUAUAAAUCCUAAAAUCCUACCUAUAGCAGCAUCCCUUAACCACAAACCCACAUUCUAUUAAAUUGUCUAAAAAUGUUUUGGGAUUCCUGCCUCUAUAAUAACCAAAUGUUUGAUAGCAUUAUCUUUCUUCCUUGAAGCUAUUUCUUUCUUCAGUCCUACCUUGUUCCCGUGAGUCUUGCUUCUCUGGAGGCCUGAAGAAAGCAAAGUACCUUAGAAGCCAGAGCCCUGCACUGGUGCUGUGAGCAGCCCCUCACGGCUGGCUCCCUGGUGCACUCUGGCUUCCCCAGCCCAGGCCUGGCUCAUUGCUAAGUCACAUACCCAAGAAGCUACAGCAGGAGGGCUAGACUGGCCACUCUGACCCCCUCCUCCUGCCUCCUCUGGACAGAAGCACUUGCUGGUUCCUGCUGAGACCAAGGGAGAGCAUCAACCAUGGGGAAUUGGGAGCCUUGAGGUGGGGAGAGAGUCCAUAAGGCCCAGGUGACCUGUUUGCUUUUUGGAGUGUUGACUCUACUGCUCCAGAAGCCACAGCCUAGUGGCCGGAUGUUCACAGUUGCAGGAUCCGAUCUGCAAGGGAAUUUCCCUGGACAAGCGUCUUCCCCGUUGGGCCUGGCUGCCGUUUUUGAGAGCCGGGCCAUCUUGGGCCUCCCGGGGUGUGCCCUCUGGAGAGCUGGCAUUUCCAUGUGAUACAGGGGUGCGGAGGGAAUUUUCCCACUUGGCAGAGUGGCGUGAGGACCAGGAGGGAGUGUUUGUCCUGCCCGGCAACAAGAGGUCCCAGGAAGCUCUAUAUUUUUAUUUCAGAAGAAGAUUCUCUCUCCACCUCCACUGUGUCUUAGAAGGGACAACUCAGGCACGUACCUUUCAGCCACCUGACCUCUACCUAGGUGUGAGGUCCUUGAGGUGGGCACGCGGCCGUGUCUUAUUGAUUCUAGAAUCUUACACUCUCUCCCAGUGCUCAGCACGCGGGGAGCUUGUUUGUUGAAUGAAUGGAUGAAACUCUGGCACACCACUCGGAAGUGGUGGCUUGGGAGGCUUGAACAACUGUGACAGGUGUGUGACAGAGCCCUCACCUCUCACCCGUCACUCCCUGCAGAAAAGGGAACAGAAAUGGGAAAAAACACGAAAGCCCAAGAUGCUGGGGUUUAAUCUUGGCUUUUCCGCUGGCUGCUGUGUAGCCUCAGGUAAGUCUUCAAACCUCUCUGAACCCCAGUUUUCUCCUGUGCAAACCAAGAGAGUUAACAUCUCCUCUGUCAGAUGGUGAGACAGAUUAACUGUGGCUACACUUAGUAAUGAGAAGUUGAGAAUGGAUGGAUUAGGAGAGAAGUCCUUGAGUCCCAUCAGCCCGGGUCCCUGGGUCAGAGAUUUUUAUCUCAUUACACAGUGUCUCCUGAAGCUGCCCACGUGGUAUUUUCCUCUACAUGGAAUUAAUCUGGAAUUGAUUCCAUGUCUGAGACCCAGCAUGAGCCGUGUGCCUGGGACGCCCAUGCGUGGGAAUAGAAGCUGAGAGAAGGCUGUCUGUACGUGGUGGUGCAUCCUGUCCCCAGGCAGCAGUGUGGUUAAGAACAUGACCUGGAAAAGGUCUUUCUGAAAGGCACAGAGGGAGGAGUGGUGGUGGU